CAAUUCAUUGCUAAGAUUUUCAAUAGAUUUUGCUCUGUUUCAUUUUUAUCCACGAGUUUUAAAUUUGGCACAAGUGAAUAAUAGAACUGAUUUAACUCUUUUUCUUUUGCGGUUUUGUGGGUCCUCUGUUGAGUUAAAGCUGCUUUGUAAUUCAAUCUACAGUUCAUUUGUAAUGUUCAGGUUGAUAAAUAUAGAGGAGUUUAAAUGAUGUCUACUAUUUGCUGAAAACUGAUUUUGUGUUUUUGGAAGUUUGAAGUUGUACCUGUUCCAUGCCCUAUAGUGGCGUUGGGAAAGAAGUUGGUAGUGUUAUAUAGGCUUGCUUCUAUUGAGUUGUUUCCUCUAUAGGUUUUUUUCCCCAAGUUGGCUGAACUCCUUCCUCCCUUUUUAUACAUGUAGGACUUUCUAACAUAUUGCCUAUGUCAUUACAAAGGGAACAAGUGACAUAGUGCUGGUUAAAUUAACCGAGAAAUGAAAAAAGAACUCAACUGAAUGACUUAAUUCCAUUCUUGAAGCUUAAGAACUUGAAAAGUAUUUCCACUGUCAGGAUAAUGGAUGUUGAUCUAGUUCCAACAAGAAUCUGAUGUUGAUCUAGUUCUAACAAGAAUCUGAAAAAUAUGAUAACAUAGCACUUGGAUAUCUAUGUGAUGGCAGAGUCGUUCUUUCGAGCCUAGGGUCUAUCGGAAACAGCCUCCCUAUCCUAUAAAGAUAGGGGUAAGGUCUACGUACAUCUUACCCUUCCUAGACCCACUUGUGGGACCACACAGGGACGAAUGUGUGAAAAUCAACACAACUAGCAAUCUGGUACAACAAUGCACAAGCUGUUGGAAGAUCUAUCUUGGGUCACUCAACUUUUGGAUUAGAAUUUAGUUUGACAACUCUUUGGGACAAAAUAGCAUCUAGAAUACAAUGCAACAAUGAUGACUAUGCUAAUCAGGAGCUGUUUUCUCUAACUUCAGUCGAGGAAGGAUAAGGUUCUUCAACAACGGGAAAUGAAGUCAGCCACAACUAGAAGUUUGAAGACAACAAAAUAGUUUGGAGACAUUUUAUGUUAUUUUUUUGGGUUAUACAUCUGUACAAAGAAAAUGGGUUAUAAUUUUAUAAUGUAUACUUUAUAUACUUUAUGUUUUAUUAGCAAUGAAAUAUUCUUAUAUAACUGUAUUUCUCAGAAUCACCUCCUUAUCGACUACGAAUUAACCUCGUAUUUUAUGCCAAUUGAAAUGGUAAUUAAUUAUG